rnacentral:misc_RNA from 1 species
GAUGAAGAACGUAGCGAAAUGCGAUAAGUAAUGUGAAUUGCAGAAUUCAGUGAAUCAUCGAAUCUUUGAACGCACCUUGCGCCCUUUGGCUAUUCCGAAGGGCAUGCCUGUUUGAGUAUCGUGAACACCUCAACUCUCAUGGUUUGCCAUGAUGAGCUUGGACUUUGGGGGUUUUGCUGGCCUUUGGUCGGCUCCUCUCAAACGGAUCAGCUUUCCAGUGUUUGGUGGCGUCACGGGUGUGAUAACUAUCUACGCUUGUGGUUUUUCCACCAGGUAACCUUCAGCAGUGGAGGUUCGCUGGAGCUCAUAGACGUCUCUCCUCAGUGAGGACAGCCCUUUGAACGUUUGAUCUCAAAUCAGGUAGGACUACCCGCUGAACUUAAGCAUAUCAAUAAGCGGAGGA